rnacentral:ncRNA from 1 species
AGGUUCGCUUCGGUGAAAAGGGAAACAGGUGCAAAUCCUGUACGAACUCGUCACCGUAAUCAGGGAGCAGACGCCGAGAUAUCACUGGGAAACUGGGAAGAUGGCCGAUGCGAUGAUCUUUAAGCCGGGAGACCUGCCUGAAU